UACGUAGGGUGCGAGCGUUGUCCGGAAUUAUUGGGCGUAAAGAGCUCGUAGGCGGUUUGUCGCGUCGACUGUGAAAACCCGAGGCUUAACCUCGGGCCUGCAGUCGAUACGGGCAGACUAGAGUUCGGUAGGGGAGACUGGAAUUCCUGGUGUAGCGGUGGAAUGCGCAGAUAUCAGGAGGAACACCGGUGGCGAAGGCGGGUCUCUGGGCCGAAAUUGACGCUGAGGAGCGAAAGCGUGAGGAGCAAACAGG
rnacentral:rRNA from 1 species